rnacentral:rRNA from 1 species
AACGAACGCUGGCGGCAGGCCUAACACAUGCAAGUCGAGCGCACCCUUCGGGGUGAGCGGCGGACGGGUGAGUAACGCGUGGGAACGUGCCCUUCUCUGCGGAAUAGCCUCGGGAAACUGAGAGUAAUACCGCAUACGCCCUUUGGGGGAAAGAUUUAUCGGAGAAGGAUCGGCCCGCGUUGGAUUAGGUAGUUGGCGGGGUAAUGGCCCACCAAGCCGACGAUCCAUAGCUGGUUUGAGAGGAUGAUCAGCCACACUGGGACUGAGACACGGCCCAGACUCCUACGGGAGGCAGCAGUGGGGAAUCUUAGACAAUGGGGGCAACCCUGAUCUAGCCAUGCCGCGUGAGUGAUGAAGGCCUUAGGGUUGUAAAGCUCUUUCAGCUGGGAAGAUAAUGACGGUACCAGCAGAAGAAGCCCCGGCUAACUCCGUG